GAUGAACGCUGGCGGCGUGCCUAACACAUGCCAGUCGAGCGGCAGCGCGGGGUGCUUGCACCCUGUCUGCGAGCGGCGGACGGCUGAGUAACGCGUGGGAACGUUCCCCAAAGUGAGGAAUAACUUCCCGAAAGGGUAGCUAAUACCGCAUAUUAUCUUCGGAUCAAAGGAUUUAUCCGCUUUGGGAGCGGCUCGCGUCGGAUUAGGUAGUUGGUGAGGUAAUGGCUCACCAAGCCGACGAUCCGUAGCUGGUCUGAGAGGAUGACCAGCCAGACUGGAACGGAGACGCAGUAGAGAAUCCUACGGGAGGGAGGAGUGAGGGAUCGUCCAAAAUGGGCGAAAGGCUGAUGGAGCAACGACGCGUGCAGGACGAAGGCAUUCGGGUUGUAAACUGCUUGUAUAAGUGAGGAAUAUGACGGUAACUUAUGAAUAAGGAUCGGCUAACUACGUG
rnacentral:rRNA from 1 species